rnacentral:rRNA from 1 species
GGACUACUGGGGUAUCUAAUCCUGUUUGCUCCCCACGCUUUCGCGUCUCAGCGUCAGUCAUCGUCCAGAAGGCCGCCUUCGCCACCGGUGUUCCGCUUGAUAUCUACGAAUUUCACCUCUACACCAAGCAUUCCGCCUUCCUCUCCGAGACUCAAGCUGGGCAGUUUCGGGUGCACUUCCGUGGUUGAGCCACGGGAUUUCACAUCCGACAUGCCCUGCCGCCUACACGCGCUUUACGCCCAGUAAUUCCGAACAACGUUUGCACCCUCUGUCUUACCGCGGCUGCUGGCAC